CAAACCAAAGCUGGCGACCGGCGCACGGGUGAGUAACACGUAUCCAACCCGCCUCAUACUCGGGGAUAGCCUUUCGAAAGAAAGAUUAAUAUCCGAUAGCAUAUAUUUCCCGCAUGGGUUUUAUAUUAAAGAAAUUCGGUAUGAGAUGGGGAUGCGUUCCAUUAGUUUGUUGGGGGGUAACGGCCCACCAAGACUACGAUGGAUAGGGGUUCUGAGAGGAAGGUCCCCCACAUUGGAACUGAGACACGGUCCAA
rnacentral:rRNA from 1 species